GAUGAACGCUGGCGGCGUGCCUAAUACAUGCAAGUCGAGCGAACGGACGAGAAGCUUGCUUCUCUGAUGUUAGCGGCGGACGGGUGAGUAACACGUGGAUAACCUACCUAUAAGACUGGGAUAACUUCGGGAAACCGUAGCUAAUACCGGAUAAUAUUUUGAACCGCAUGGUUCAAAAGUGAAAGACGGUCUUGCUGUCACUUAUAGAUGGAUCCGCGCUGCAUUAGCUAGUUGGUAAGGUAACGGCUUACCAAGGCAACGAUGCAUAGCCGACCUGAGAGGGUGAUCGGCCACACUGGGACUGAGACACGGUCCAGACUCCUACGGGAGGCAGCAGUAGGGAAUCUUCCGCAAUGGGCGAAAGCCUGACGGAGCAACGCCGCGUGAGUGAUGAAGGUCUUCGGAUCGUAAAACUCUGUUAUUAGGGAAGAACAUAUGUGUAAGUAACUGUGCACGUCUUGACGGUACCUAAUCAGAAAGCCACGGCUAACUACGUG
rnacentral:rRNA from 1 species